rnacentral:rRNA from 1 species
CCUACGGGUGGCAGCAGUGAGGAAUAUUGGUCAAUGGGCGGAAGCCUGAACCAGCCAAGUCGCGUGAGGGAUUAAGGCCCUGCGGGUCGUAAACCUCUUUUGCCGGGGAGCAGAGGUCCGGACGUGUCCGGGCCGGGAGAGUACCCGGAGAAAAAGCAUCGGCUAACUCCGUUCCCGCAGCCGCGGUAAUACGGAGGAUGCGAACGUUAUCCGGCUUUAUUGGGUUUAAAGGGUGCGUAGGCGGGCAUUUAAGCCGGCGGUCAAAUGUCGGGGCUCAACCCCGGCCUGCCGUCGGAACUGGGUGCCUUGAGUGGGCGAGAAGUAUGCGGAAUGCGGGGUGUAGCGGUGAAAUGCAUAGAUAUCACGCAGAACCCCGAUUGCGAAGGCAGCAUACCGGCGCCCUACUGACGCUGAGGCACGAAAGUGCGGGUAUCGAACAGGAUUAGAUACCCUGGUAGUC